UACGUAGGUGGCAAGCGUUGUUCGGAAUUAUUGGGCGUAAAGGGCGCGUAGGCGGUUUGUUAAGUCGGCUGUGAAAGCCCGGGGCUCAACCCCGGAGGGUCAGCCGAUACUGGCAGACUAGAGUACGGAAGGGGCAACUGGAAUUCUCGGUGUAGCGGUGAAAUGCGUAGAUAUCGAGAGGAACACCUGCGGCGAAGGCGGGUUGCUGGGCCGACACUGACGCUGAUGCGCGAAAGCCAGGGGAGCGAACGGG
rnacentral:rRNA from 1 species